rnacentral:lncRNA from 1 species
UGAGUGUGCAACCGUCUUGUUUUUGUUAUGCUAAACAUUAACUGACUGUUUCUUAGCAAGCUUGGGACUACAGAGUUCGCUUCCUCCAACCGGGGUGAUUGUGAUGCUGUUAGUAGAACUGCUGUUCUUAGAAGUGGCUACGUCCAGCUACUGGGAAAGGUACAUCUCUAGCUGGUGUUAUCACUGAUGGACACUGACUGCUUAGUCUUAUGUAUAAUUGAUUAGUUGAAGAAUGGUGGACUAUUUAGAAAUUUAGUAUUUCUUGAAACUUAAUCCGGAGGGUACAAAGUCUGCUAAAAUCAGAACAAAGAGCAGGGAAUUCCUUACCAUGUGAUCACUGUAAUGCUGAAGAGUAGUAACUUAAUACUUCCUACCUGUCUGCUGAAU